AUUGAACGCUGGCGGCAUGCCUUACACAUGCAAGUCGAACGGUAACGCGGGGCAACCUGGCGACGAGUGGCGAACGGGUGAGUAAUGUAUCGGAACGUGCCCAAUAGUGGGGGAUAGCCCGGCGAAAGCCGGAUUAAUACCGCAUGAGACCUGAGGGUGAAAGCGGGGGACUCGCAAGAGCCUCGCGCUAUUGGAGCGGCCGAUAUCAGGUUAGGUAGUUGAUGGGGUAAAGGCCUACCAAGCCGACGAUCUGUAGCUGGUCUGAGAGGACGACCAGCCACACUGGGACUGAGACACGGCCCAGACUCCUACGGGAGGCAGCAGUGGGGAAUUUUGGACAAUGGGCGCAAGCCUGAUCCAGCCAUGCCGCGUGCGGGAAGAAGGCCUUCGGGUUGUAAACCGCUUUUGUCAGGGAAGAAAUCUUCUGGGUUAAUACCUCGGGAGGAUGACGGUACCUGAAGAAUAAGCACCGGCUAACUACGUGCCAGCCGCCGCAGUAAGAC
rnacentral:rRNA from 1 species